rnacentral:lncRNA from 1 species
ACGCCACUGGUGGGCAGCGAAAGAAAGGGGUGGAAAGGGGGGCAUCAGCGUCUGUGCGGAAAGCGCAGAGUAGGAACCACGUGCCCACGUUCCCUACGGCCCUGCCCUGGCGACAGCUGGCACAGCCAGCGACCGGGAAUAGGUUGGUGCGGGGGUGGGGGGGGGGGGGGGGGGGGGGGCAAAAGGCAAUGCAGCCGGCGAGGAGGGUGGCUUUGGCCGCGUGAAAGGCUCUUUGUGCCCGCACUCGGGGUGGGGGCAACGCGGGCGAGCGGACCCGGAGGCUGGGCGUCCUGGCCCGCCGCUGCGCGCCCCUCCGCCGCCGCGCUGCCCAGACCCGGGAGCCGGAGAGAUCGCGGCGGCUGCAAGGGCGCAGCGCCUUCCCGGGCGCUCCCUCACAGUCGGGGAUCCGGGAGGGCGAGCCCCCCCUCCCCGGCGCCCCCCAGGUUCCCGCCGCCCCCACGAAGGAAAGAGAAGCGGGCGCCGCGCUGCCUCGCUCAGCGCCCCGGCCGCGUGGCUUGCGGCUUAUUUUCCCAGCUGGCAAGCGUCGUGCUGCAGACAAGGGAAUGCCUGUGGUGCUGCGUGUUCCGGAGCUCAGGGGUCCCCCGAUCCCGCCAAGCCCCCUCCAGGAGCGGAAGGGUUAAGAAUGAUGUAAGUACCAUACACAAGCCGCUAGCCGCCGGGCCGUAGGGCUCCGGGCUGCUUCUCCCCGGCUUUGCCGGGGAAGAACAGCGGGGAAUCUUUCCUCGAAAAUGGGUGGCACACAUCGCAGCCCUGGGUCUGAUUCCUGGCUCCUCUGCCCCGGGGUGGUCUGUUAGAAGAGGGUCCUGGUAGAUCUCUGCAAAUGGAGAUUCUGGGUAUUAACAGGGGUUAGACAUCAUGUAAAGGUUCACGAAAAGAAACCACGUCUGUUUAGAAUCCAUUAAUGUUGCUGGCAUGUGUUUUAUUUCUACCCAUUUGGCACCUGCAUACUGUGGGAUGCUUUCCUGUGUCCCCUAAUUGUACUGUUCUGCUUUCCUCUUUUCUUCCUGAAAACAAAGAGGAAGGAAGAAAGAAUACAAGGGGCAAGACACAGGGUGGAUUUGUUUGAGUUGUGUAAGCUGUCACGUCACGGUUUUCUUUUAUAUUAAAAUAUAAAACUUUUAUAAGUCAUCGAUUUUAUGUUUGUGUUCUAGCUCCCUCUCCAGAUUUUUCUUUGUAGAGUCUUAAGACUCCUUAACUUGUGGCAUACUAGCUGGGGAAGUGGGUUCGCUAUAAUUGACCGUUCACCACGCUCUUGCUUCCCAAGCUGACUUGGGAUCUUGUUAACAGUCCGAAUGUACCCGGCGAAUGUGUCAACUAACCUUAAUGUCCUGAAAAUAGGAACCACCUUGCGGUUUAAUUGUGAAAAUUAACAUUUUCCUCUAACAUGCUGAACACUUAUGCAGCAAUAAAAAGUGAAUUCUUAGGCGUAUAAAUCUUGGGCUUGUCAAACGUUUACAACAGAGGAGCAAUAAAGCGCCUCAAAAGAAAUGAAGUUUUUCCUCUAAGGAACAAUAGUUUCAUUUCAGGACGCUAGGACGUGCAGUGACUCGGGGGUGCCCUCUGUUGGUAAAAUCUAGAGCAACCAUGUACUUGAGGAACAGGAUAUAAGGGAGAAGAGGAAACGGAGGAAAAUUAUAGAAAAUCAGGAGUGAAAAAACUCCUGAACUCAAACUAAACUCAUACUAAACUGAAUUUGACCCUUAACUCUUGGUUACAUGUUUUAAAGUAUGGCCAAUAAAGUGGGAUUCUUCUUUCAUAGGAGUCGAACUAAAUCUUGGGUUAAGGAAGAGGAAACAUCUUACUAUUAGUCUUUGUUAGCAAAAUGCUUUGAAAGAUGCUGUUUACAUUGAUUACUUUGAAAAAGAGGUUUACCAGGGUUUCAUUGACUUGAUUUCAUUAGUAAUAUGUAGUAAUUGCAAGAAAAUCAAUUUGGGGCUUAACAGUAUUUACUUCACAGUAUCACCUAAAAAUCAUAUCGCAUAACUACCCCCCCCCAAAAGUCAUUUCUCCAGGCAACUCUGAAGCUACUGUUAAGCAUAUUAUGGAUACACACAAGACUUGGGUUAUAUCGUGGGCAGUGAAAGGUGUGUUUACCACUUGAGUCAUCACAGUAUGUAAUAACUAAGUAAUGAAAAGUUGCAGUAAAAAUAGAUAGGCAUCCUUCAUUACGGAGCUAGUGGUUUGUAUAAUUCAGAACGUGUGUAAUGAGUAAGCUGGAGUGAUGGAAAGUUUGCCCUCAAUUUUCCUGGUCCAUUGAUUGGCACUUUUUAACAUGUGGAAUACUAACAUGUCCGUGGUUGAUACGAAAAUUCCUAAAUUAGGGAUUCUGAGUAAUGUAGCAGGUAGAGUUGCAGACUUCGACUUGGAUAUAAGUGAAUUUAAAACGGCAGCCCAUUGCCGUUUGCGGUGCUGCUGCGCGAAGUCGCUCGGUCGUGUUGGGCUCUUUGCGACCCUACGGCCUGUAGCCCCGCCAGGCUCCUCUGUGUAGGGGAUUCUCCAGGCAAGAACACUAGACUGUUGGAGAAAGGCAAAGACGAGGACAGUAUGAAGUGGUUCCUGGCCUUUGAGGCCAUUCUUGAGAUUAGAUACCACUUCACACCUGCUGAUAACAAAUUGGAACCUAUCAUCGACCUCAUAAAACAUGCUUUCCUUUAUCUCUGGAAGCCUCUUUUCCCGCCAGCAAUUGGUUUCCCUCUCAUUUUUGGAAUCAUCCCAUCGCAAAAGUAGAAACGGAACUGCUAUUGAAUUAAUUUGCUAAUAGACGAUGAACAUUUGUGGAAAAGCCACGGAGCAACAACAGAUCAUGGUAUAAAAUUACACUGCAUUAAAAACUCACUAUCCUCAUGAAUCUAACUACAGUGUAACAGAACACGUAGACGUUCCCCCUACUCUCAGCCCCCCCUCCCCAACUGCUUUCAGGAAGGGAAAAAUGUCAGAGUGACAGGAACACCAGAGCCUCUCACAGCUGCCCGCGAACCCCACCAGGGAGCUGGCGGCUACCUUCCCAGGCCAUCCGAUUCGUUCUGGACCGCGGGUCACAUUCGCAUUUCCAAAGCGACUGGCUUUACCGAAAGUCCCGAAUGAGUUCAGAAGGCGUUGACUUUACUAAAAAAAAAAAAAAAAAAAAAAAAAA